rnacentral:ncRNA from 2 species
UGUAUUUCCAAUUGAGUGGAUGUCAGGGAAGAGGAGUGAACUACAUAGGUGAUUCUCCCGCUGCCCCGCAGCCGUGAAGGGAACGAAAGCCACACAUAAACCACUGUCAUGGGCGAUACCGUGAUGGGAAGGCAGGCAAGUAGGAAGCCCUAAGCCGGAAGACCUAUCCACCCUGAAAGUAACAA